rnacentral:misc_RNA from 1 species
GAGUGGUGUUUGGUUUGAUACGGGUGGUUGGCUCCCUGCUUGAGCAGGCACGRCUACGCGUACAUUCCUCUUCAGUUGUGCGGCAAGGCUUGUAUCGUCUUGAUCGUAUAUGUGGGUUUCCUGUGUUGCAUACCUGAUCAACGGCAUCGUUUUGAUCAAAAACGUACAUUUUUCGUCAGGUGUUGCACCCGCAACGUCGGAUGAACCGUGCAGCAUCCUCUUUGAUCCAUAUAGUCGAUGAGCAUUUGUUGACUGUUUGGCCUGUUGAGGGUGGCUUGGUCUCUCGGAUAUGGAAGCCAAAGUGGGCAUGGGUUCGUAUGAUCCUUUUAUUGCCCUCGUUCAGCGUUCUCGCUUCUCUUACACGACCGCCUUCCACGUAUGGCACGUCCCAGCGUGUUUGGCUACGUCGAAGAGGAAUGCUACCUGGUUGAUCCUGCCAGUAGUCAUAU